GAUGAACGCUAGCGGCAGGCCUAAUACAUGCAAGACGAACGGCAAGAUUGAUAGCAAUAUUGAUCCUAGAGUGUCGCACGGGUGCGUAAACACGUAUGCAACCUACCUUGUACAGGAGUAUAGCUCGGGGAAACUCGAAUUAACCCUCCAUAAUAUAAUCGGAUGGCAUCAUUUGAUUAUUAAAAACUUCGGUGGUACAAAGAUGGGCAUGCGUUUGAUUAGCUAGUUGGCGGUGUAAUGGACCACCAAGGCGAUGAUCAAUAGGGGAACUGAGAGGUUGAUCCCCCACACUGGCACUGAGAUACGGGCCAGACUCCUACGGGAGGCAGCAGUAGGGAAUAUUGGUCAAUGGAUGGAAGUCUGAACCAGCCAAGUAGCGUGAAGGAUGAAGGUCCUAUGGAUUGUAAACUUCUUUUAUACGGGAAUAAAGUGCAGUAUGCAUACUGUUUUGUAUGUAACCGUAUGAAUAAGGAUCGGCUAACUCCGUGCC
rnacentral:rRNA from 1 species